rnacentral:misc_RNA from 1 species
GGAGCUUCAUGAAACUGUUCGACCAUAGCAAAUCGAUGCAAGAUACAGAUUUUUCGCCCACUUGUCCUUCACAUGCUGACUAGGAAAUGCGGUCGUUCGAAGUGUUUCUUGUGUCUCGUCUGCAGGCUUCCUUCUUGGUACACUUAAAACUAAUGCAGCCUGGUCAAAUGUGGCAGCGGUUGCAGUGAUUCGAUAACCACUGUCCCAUCUUCGGUGAAUACCAUCACUGGGGUAUAAGAAAUCAAGUUCCACAACCUGGUCAGAAAAGCCUGCAUUCCGGGACAUGACAACUCCCCACCUCCCUCCUGCUGUAGCCAUAGAGGUAACAUAGAACCCCUCUCGCCAUUUUUUAUUUAUCCACUUGAAAGGAAAUGAAUCGCUGACUUUAUACGACUGCUGUGAAUACUGUGUACCUUUAGA